UGCGAUCCUUUACGUUGAACGUAGACGACGCUCGAGCACAACUUUUGGAUCGGGUCAACGCGGCUGCUCGAGCGGCUGGGGGCGGCGCGGCGGCUUAAUGCAGUAUGGCGGCGACGGCUGGAGCUUGCAGGGGAAGGAUCCGUGCGCGGCAGGUGCUAGGGAGGCGAAUCCGGAGGAAGGCGGCGAGGCGGGGGUCGCCGGUGACGACGAAGAAGACAGUAGCGCGGCUUCCCGGGGCGGGUCAAUGGAAUCCGCGGCUCCAGGCAGAAAGGAGAUAUGGAGGUGAGGGAGAGAAGAUGGGGGAAAGGAGGGGUGGUGCGGCGACCUAGGAAGGAGCUCGCCGGAGCUCGACGACGGCGGACGGGCGCGGGAGACAGAGGGAUUCGGUGCCGCUGCUACUCUCCUGGUCGCUGCCUCGCCUCCCUGGUAUUCCUCCUCUCACCUCUCCUACCUUGACGACAUCUGCUGCGUCGCCCACGGCCCAGGCCUCGGCCCCACAUCACCAACAUCUCCGCCUCAAGCACACCUGCCACUGCACCCAGCGGCUCGUCGCCAUGACCGUAUCCAGCAAGGGAUGGAGUGAAGAAAUUGGAUUGGGAUCAUGGAGUAAAUCAAAUGAGGAUGCAACUCAUGUUCGUGUAGGUAGUCAUUCAGACAUUACUCUUUAGCAAAUAGUUCACAUGGUAGAGCCAGUCGUGGUGCAGACGCUAGAUAGUUUUAGUAUUCAGCCUUUCAGUUGCUGCUAGCUCUACUCUGCUUUGUCCUUUCGUAAUGGCAAUGUAGCAGCUGUGUGAUACGAUUGCAACGCGGAGUCUUCACUGCAUAUUACCUGCCGGGAACAUAUGUGUUUUUGUCGACAUAAAGUUCUAACCUGAAUUUGCUAUUCAGGUGGCAAAUCCAAUUAUUUAUGUACUGUAUUUGCAUUUUGCAAGAUAAUUUGGCUGCCAAAGUGCUACAUCGUAUCUCACUAGACCUACUGAGCAAGUGGUUAUUUUUCAUUUAUAUAUCAUUCAGAUUUCUAUA